GCGGGAAUUUUGGGCAAUGGGCGAAAGCCUGACCCAGCAACGCCGCGUGAAGGAUGAAGUAUUUCGGUAUGUAAACUUCGAAAGAAUAGGAAGAAUAAAUGACGGUACUAUUUAUAAGGUCCGGCUAACUACGUGCCAGCAGCCGCGGUAAUACGUAGGGACCAAGCGUUGUUCGGAUUUACUGGGCGUAAAGGGCGCGUAGGCGGCAAUUCAAGUCAUCUGUGAAAUCUCCGGGCUUAACUCGGAACGGUCAGAUGAUACUGCUUUGCUAGAGUGCAGAAGGGGCAAUCGGAAUUCUUGGUGUAGCGGUGAAAUGCGUAGAUAUCAAGAGGAACACCUGAGGUGAAGACGGGUUGCUGGGCUGACACUGACGCUGAGGCGCGAAAGCCAGGGGAGCAAACGGGAUUAGAUACCCCCGUAGUCCCUGAGCGGGCUGGCAAGGCGCAU
rnacentral:rRNA from 1 species